UGUGACUGGAAGCCUUUUGAUCAGGAUAACUAUAAGGAGCUGUUUGGAGCCCUGGAUAAUGCUUUCUUGGUUGCUUAUGCUAUUGGAAUGUAUAUCAGUGGGAUUUUCGGUGAGCGUCUUCCCCUGCGCUACUACCUCUCCGGAGGCAUGUUGCUGAGUGGCUUGUUUACUUCCUUAUUUGGACUGGGCUACUACUGGAAUAUCCAUCAAUUAUGGUACUUUGUGUUUGUACAGAUCCUGAACGGCUUGGCUCAGACAACUGGUUGGCCAUCGGUGGUGACGUGUGUCGGCAACUGGUUUGGAAAGGGGAAGCGAGGUUUAAUCAUGGGCAUCUGGAAUUCACACACAUCUGUUGGAAACAUCUUGGGUUCCUUGAUUGCUGGCAUCUGGGUUUCAAAAGCAUGGGGGCUGUCGUUCAUUGUACCUGGAAUCAUUAUAGCCAUGAUGGGUGUCAUCUGCUUCCUGUUCCUCAUUGAAUAUCCAGAAGAUGUUGACUGCAGCCCACCUCUUCACCAUGAGACCAGUUCAGAUGAGAAAGGUCUGGAGGCAGGACAUUCCAUCAGUGACGGAAGCCUGAAUGUUUCUACCAACAGCCGAGAAAACAUCAUUGACAUGGUGGAAAACCCCAAAGACUCUGGGGAGGAUCGAGAAGCCAUCAGCUUCAUUGGUGCCCUCAAGAUACCUGGAGUGAUCGAAUUUUCCUUCUGCCUCUUAUUUGCCAAACUAGUCAGCUACACCUUUCUCUAUUGGUUGCCCCUCUAUAUCGUGAAUGUAGCUCGCUUAAGUGCAAAAGAAGCUGGAGAUAUGUCAACUUUGUUUGAUGCUGGUGGCAUUGUUGGGGGCAUUGUGGCUGGUCUCGUCUCAGACUACACUGGUGGCAGGGCCACCACAUGCUGUGCAAUGCUUAUCCUGGCAGCUCCCAUGCUCUUUUUGUACAAUUAUGUUGGCCAAAAUGGACUAGGUACAUCCAUAGCGAUGCUCAUUAUCUGUGGUGGCCUUGUUAACGGACCGUAUGCUCUCAUUACGACAGCAGUGUCAGCUGAUUUGGGUACUCAUGAAAGUCUCCAGGGAAAUGCAAAAGCUCUUUCCACAGUCACAGCCAUCAUUGAUGGAACCGGAUCUGUAGGUGCUGCUCUUGGACCCUUGCUAGCGGGUUUGAUCUCCAGCUCUGGCUGGGACAAUGUCUUCUACAUGUUGAUUUCAGCUGAUAUCUUGGCUUGUUUACUCCUUUCACGAGUGGUGUUCAAAGAAAUGCGUGGAUGGUGUGGCUGCUAUACACGAAAAAGAGGUGCUUGUUUGGCAUUAACUCACCCAGUACUGUUGGAUACAAAAUAGUUUACAGUGUGUCAAUCACCAUUUUUUGAACAGGCAUGCUCUGGGGCCAUAAAUCCUGCUUUAAAGAAUUUUAAUGUGGCCUGCCUGACCAAAGGUAGCCCAUCGGGGCAAAAAAGAAGAGCAUUGCCAAGAUGGCCGGGUUUGUUGCCCCCACCCACCCAACUCACGUGGGACGAAUUAAUGAAGCUCAAAUGUGCUCCAGAGUCAGAACUCUCUUGCAAAACACUAGCCAGAUUAAUCUCUGGCUGCACUUCUGUUGUUUAAAAUGAUUGACAGUGGGAAGCAGGAAAAGUGAAGCAACAAGAGAAAAAAAAUGGGCGUAUUUGGGAUCCAGGUCGAGUCCCCAGGCCUUUGUUUUUCUAUCAGUUGCCAGCUCCAUCCCAUUUUGUUACUGCUCCUUUUUUACUAUUAAAAACAGAGAACCAGUCCAGGGUUUAUUUCUCUACCUGGAGGAAGAAAAGACUUUGGUCCUCUUGUAAUUGCUGCCUCUCCAACAGUCCUAUUUUCUUCUCUGGAGAUGGUUUUAUUUUAUGCAAAACCACUGCCAAGUCUUCAAUUUGAAUUACAAGAAUAACACAGGGAAAAGAAUUUUCCUCUUAAGCCACACUCUUUUUUACUAAAAGUUUUAUGUUAGUGAUAGAUGUUUCUACUACAAGGACCGCCAUAUGAAGCUAGAUGCAAAAUAAUACCACGGGCAGAGGCCAUCACAUGGUGGCCACAGAAUGGAGCUAAUCACCCAUAAACCAUCCUUAAACUCAGUAAGCAGAACUCAUGUUCUAUAGGCGAAUAACUUUUGGGAGGGAAAGGUUAGUGAUUUGCACAAAGUGAGGCAUGGCAAGAGAUUUUUGUUGAACCUGCAGAUUUAACUGCAGAACUUCUUGGAAGAAGGAAAUGGCAGGCCACUUCCACAAUACUGCCAGAAGAUUCCAAAUCAACCUGUUGUCUAUUCCUGCUUUAUGUCCUCUACAAUCCUUGAAAUAUCUCCAACUGGAAAGCAAUUUUUUCUUCUUACUGAAAGAUCUGGGAACUUCUUUAAAAGAAAUGUUUAAUGUUCUACCCUCCCCUGCUUGUGGUAAAGAGUUCUUGGACCAACUGGGCCUAUUUGGACAGGCAGGAAUAAAAACCACCCAUCUUCAGAGAGUCAGACUUUGUCUGUGCAUCAUCUUUUUUUCAUAGUUCACACCAAUACAGAGAGCUGCUGCUCUUGAUGCAUGCAACAUGGCCAACAUAUAUAUCACUUUAUGCUCUGUUUACCCCAAUUGUCUCAGGGCAAAUAAUGUAUAUUGUGUGGUAAAGUAUUCACACUGGAAGUUUGGAAGAAUAUUCAAACCAGCAGAAUGGGGGGUUCCAUUAUGAUCUAGGAUACACUACAUUCCUCUGGGAAUGUUUGAGUUUGUUCAGGAUGGUCUCCAGGCUAAAACACCUGUCUCCAGAUCAUCCAUUGUAUGGAGACUCCUUAGAGUUAGAUGUGAAGGAAUGCAGGAAUUAGGUCUCUGUGGAGCCCCCGUUCUGCUUUCGUUAAACAUUCUCAUUUAAUUUUAUGGAAAAGAAUUUUUCCCCCAGGGAGAAGAAAAUGCUAGUGAAAUUCUCAUAGGGAGUUGGCACAGGGUGCUUCCCUUUAACUCAGUUAUAAAUUGACCAGGAAUGUGUUUUGUCUUUCAUUAAGUAGCCAUCUUCUCCAAGAGCUGCAGCUUCUAUCGCAUCUCUUUCUUCUAACUGGUCCCUUCCAACUCUGGGAUUGUACUCCAAAUCACAACAGAAGGCCUCAUGAAGGGAAUGUCUUCCUCCCUUCCAAAUUAGGUCUUUUCCAGAUUAGAGAGUGAAGGUAACCAAGCAAGGGAUCAAAAGAGCAGUAAGCUCAAAAAUGCCAAGUUAAAUUGGAAAGUAUUUCAGCCAAAUAAGAAAGAUGAUGAACUCCACUAGCAAAAGUUUAUGCCAUAACAACUCAUGAUAGGCUUUAGGCUGACAGAAAGCUCUGGGUAGUUUAUAUAAUGCUUGCCAUCUUAUAUGUAGAACAACUUGCUGGAGGUGAAAUCUUGUGGUGCACUAGUUCAAUUCAUGUAACAAGUAAAGACUCACCGUGAAUUGUAUUUACACUGUAGCCUACUUUGUUUAGGUUUGCUGUGGCGUGAGAAUAAUGGCCGGCUCUAAAGUAGAGCAGACCCAUUCCUUAACGUGUCUCUUUAUUUCAAUUUCAAUCUCUGUGAUGGGUUUCAUAGAUCAUACUAAGCCUGUAGUUUAUUUGGUUUGGGCAUAGCAUUUUAAGUGAAUUCAGACGUUGUACUUGCUUCAGAAGCCAUGGUUAAACAAACAGUGACCUAGUGUGACUAAGGCUGGAGCCAUCUCUGCAGCUUGAUUUCUUCAGUGCAAUUCCAUCCACCAUUUAUAACAUAGUACUGGUCUAUUCAAAACAGCCCCUGGAUUUGCCUCUGAACUAUUUAACUACCCUUCUCUUUUUUUGUUCUGCAUGUCUGUUUAGCUCCUUAAAUACUUACCAUGGAAUAUCCCCAGUGGGGGAUGAGAACUUUUCUUACACUUUAUAUACAGUUUUUAAGAGAAGAUUUCUUAAAGGGAGAAUUGGAACAGCUGAAGUGCUGUACAUUUUCUCUAUGAUGGCUACCAUACCAUCAGGGUGAAUCUAAAUACAUCCCGCCCCCCAUCAAUCUGCAAUUAAGAGUGCAGUCCAGAAGACAUCUAGGCCACCUAGACCAAAUAGCUUCAACUUCUAGAAUGGUUGAAAAAGUGGACCAGGAAGAAAGUAGCAUUUGAUGUUCAGCUUUGAUCAAGUCCAGAACUACAACUGUUAAUUAGUAGGUAUAUUGUAACACAUGGAUAAUAAUCAGCUUGUUUUUCAAAUGAGAGCUAUGGCUUUAUGUACAAUCUUUAAGGUAAUACAUGGACUGGAAAGAAAUUACACUUUUCAAGGACUCCUUUACGUAAAAGUACCCAGCCUUUUCUGAGAAAUUUUGUUAGCUAAGGUUGUAGUCAAACAGCUUUCCACUGUUAGUAUUAAACAUGAUGGGUGCCAAAUAUAGUGUUUAUGUACAGCACAAACUUAAAGCAUAAUUGACUUCACCUCCUUGGAACUUAGCACACAGAGGAACAUUUGUACUUGAUGUUAUUUUACUAAGUGCUGAUUCCACCAGUAAAGACAAGGAGUGGGGAAGAGAAGGAAGAGGGCCACAAAGCAAAUUGUAAGACCAAAUUCUGGGUCCUGCCCAAAACGUACAUUUAUUUCAUUCAUUUAUAUCCUGUAUUUUUUCCCAAUGAGAGUAUUGGCAGGGGUGGAGUCCCAGGGAAUUUUUCCAUUGAAGCCUUGGUUGGGCCCAAGAUAGCUGAAUGCACCAUUGAAAUUAUGGAACUUCUAAUUUGAUGUACUACAACUUAACAGUAAGGCUGUAGUCCUAUAACAUAGUAGCUUGGGGUAGGACUGGGUACUUCAUUAAACAUAAUGGGACUUGGUUCCAAAUAGACAAUAUCUAUUGAUAUUGGAAUAUCAAAGGCAAGCAAAUAUUAACUGGGUUUUAAAAUAAGGAUAGAGCUACAUCAUGUGGAUUUGAGACAGGGUUGGAGGGGUUUAACACUUGGUUCAAUGUUUUAAACCUAUUCCAAAGCAUAAAGAAUUUUAAUCUAUGUUCUGUCUAAAACCAUUGGCAAUGUGGUCAGAGAAGGCUCUGGGAAUGUUAAGAAAGAGAGGUAUAUUUGAGGAACAGGCUUAUACUGUUAAGAUGUAAUUUAUUUGAAGUAAAUACCACUGAAUAGAAAAUGGACCCAUUGGAUUUCUCUGAUAUUUGAGAAAAACUUCUGACUUCAGAGGCAGAACAUUUUCAUUGAAUUGUUAUAUUCCCACCAGCUUCUGGUUCAAAAAGGGUGUGGCAGGAAGGAAUUUUGGAGCUGAAGGAUCCUUCCGAACUUUCCACAACACUUGACCCAGGAGAAAAUAAUACAUCUUUUCUGAAAAAAAUGGCACAGAGAGUGGUGAGCACGAUCCCUUCCUCGCUUUUGCCCUGUCUGUCUCCUUCCAACUUCAGAGUAAAUAAAUGACAAAUAAAGCCAUCAAGGAAGGUCCUUCAACACCUCAGGGCAUGCCAGUAUUGAGUACUCUGGAUGAUCAUUCAAAUUGUUCCUGUUCCAACUCCAGGUCUUACAAAUUACAAUACAUCAGGGAAGAGAAAUUUGGAAAAUGGAUAUUGGAUUGGUAUUUCUAACCAAUGUCACUAGGUGGCACUGCUGUUAUGAGAACUAUCUUAGGAGCUUCUGUAGACCUUCCAGUGUUGUCAAGUGAAUGCAUUUCCAAGUAACAAACACAUCUGAAAAAAAUUAAACAAUAAUUCAUUA